AUCGAACGCUGGCGGCAGGCCUAACACAUGCAAGUCGAACGAGUGGCGGACGGGUGAGUAAUGUCUGGGAAACUGCCCGAUGGAGGGGGAUAACGACUGGAAACGGUAGCUAAUACCGCAUACCAUCGGAUGUGCCCAGAGGGGAUGAGCUAGUAGGUGGGGUAAUGGCUCACCAAGGCGACGAUCCCUAGCUGGACUGAGAGGAUGACCAGCCACACUGGGACUGAGACACGGUCCAGACUCCUACGGGAGGCAGCAGUGGGGAAUAUUGCACAAUGGGCGCAAGCCUGAUGCAGCCAUGCCGCGUGUGUGAAGAAGGCCUUCGGGUUGUAAAGUACUUUCAGCGAGGAGGCGUUACCCGCAGAAAAAGCACCGGCUAACUCCGUGCCAGCAGCCGCGGUAAUUC
rnacentral:rRNA from 1 species